UGGACCAAUCACUGACCCAGUUUGCACGAGGGGCAUGCCGCACAAUAGGAUUGGUUGAUUUAAUCUCUGGCGUCCUUUUUCAAAUUUGUGUUACGUUAAACCCUGGCGAUGAGCAUCUCUUACCAGUCGCAAAACGUAAACAGUCUCGGCACUUACAUCGAGUAGUUUACACCGGGGGAAAGAACAAAUAGAGGUCAGUUUACAGGUUGAAAAACCCGUAAAGGGUCAAGUUCAACUAAGAUGUUCAACCAGGGUGUAAAGGCUCUUCUCAGCUGGGUAAACUUGACUUAUCUGCUCUAAAUACUUUUUUAAACAAAUUAUUUUCUUUGAGUAUAAGAUGAAAACAUAUUUUGUCUGCAGGUCAGUGCCAGUCACUCUGAAGAAGUGACCAUCAAUGAUUUACAGGAUGGGCUUGUCCUGCUGAAACUCAUUAAUAUGAUGUAAGUAGAAGAAACUUGCAAAUAUGUCUGUACGAUUAAUGUUAAUAUGUCCCUGUUUGAACUUGAGUGUUUGAUUUUGCUUCAUUUUGUCUCGCAUCAGGAGAAAGGAACCCAUCUCCAGCCUCAGUGACUCCUUUGAGGAUCGAUACAGAGUCAUUUCAGACUUUUUGGACAAUGAAUGCAGAUUUUGUCCAACUGAAGGCACUAAAAUAUCUAUGGACAUCAUAAGAGAUGGCAACAAUGCAACUGUUGAACUUGCAAAGGUAAAUAAGUACAAAUGGGUGAUAGAACGGCUGAUGUGAAAAAAUCUUUUCUGAUCUCUCUCUCUGUAUUUCUUCUCAAUUAGGUGCUCCUGCUGCUGGUCUACUACGAUAUGAUGAAUGACCGCUGCACUCUUAACUUGUUGGGGAGUGAAGUGGAAGUAAGUUGGUUAUUUUGUUCCCUUUUGCAUUUUAAAGACCCACUCUGAGGAAAUUUGUGUUUUUAGCAUAUUCUUGUGCCAUUUUUAUCAUGAUGGAGG
rnacentral:lncRNA from 1 species